AAAUUGUUUUUAAUUCGUAAAUGGCAAAUGUUAUAUAAUCGUUUUAACUGUUUACAAUAAGAUAAACGACUUAUCUCCGUUUUAUCCUGUACUAGAAACUACAGAUUAAGUGUAUUAAUUGGGAGUCGAAACCGAAACCAGAACCAGAUUAGAAAUAGCCAAUCGUAUUAGAAAGGGAUUUUUCCCUUCUGCUAUAAACAGAUAAUCAAGUUUUCAUUUAAACUUGCAAAGCUGGGUAUUAUAUUAGAUUGUCUAAAAACAUCCAUUGGAAGAAAUUGCACGGAAAAAAAAGUAGUAGAAAAUGAAAUUAAGUCUAUUGCUCAUUGGAUUGGAUUCAAUAACACAACUUUACAAUAUGUCAAUCAUGCUGUUGUAGAAAUAAAUGGAAAUAUAUACUCUUUUGGUGGUUACAAUGUUACUACUACUUUAGGUGAAAUUCAGAUUGAAGUUCACAUAUUAAUAACAGAAUUGUUGAUAUGGAAGAGAAUAGAAUAUAAAAGCAAAUGGAGUGAUAAUGAUAUACCUUUACAAUGCUAUGGGCAUACAGUUGUUGCUUA
rnacentral:misc_RNA from 1 species